rnacentral:tRNA from 1 species
GCGAAAGUGGCGGAAUUGGUAGACGCACUAGUUUCAGGUACUAGCGGUCGCAAGGCCGUGGGGGUUCGAGUCCCCCCUUUCGCACCA